rnacentral:rRNA from 1 species
GACGAACGCUGGCGGCGUGCCUAAUACAUGCAAGUAGAACGCUGAAGGAGGAGCUUGCUUCUCUGGAUGAGUUGCGAACGGGUGAGUAACGCGUAGGUAACCUGCCUGGUAGCGGGGGAUAACUAUUGGAAACGAUAGCUAAUACCGCAUAAGAGUAGAUGUUGCAUGACAUUUGCUUAAAAGGUGCAAUUGCAUCACUACCAGAUGGACCUGCGUUGUAUUAGCUAGUUGGUGGGGUAACGGCUCACCAAGGCGACGAUACAUAGCCGACCUGAGAGGGUGAUCGGCCACACUGGGACUGAGGCACGGCCCAGACUCCUACGGGAGGCAGCAGUAGGGAAUCUUCGGCAAUGGACGGAAGUCUGACCGAGCAACGCCGCGUGAGUGAAGAAGGUUUUCGGAUCGUAAAGCUCUGUUGUAAGAGAAGAACGAGUGUGAGAGUGGAAAGUUCACACUGUGACGGUAUCUUACCAGAAAGGGACGGCUAACUACGUGC